GACGAACGCUGGCGGCGUGCUUAACACAUGCAAGUCGAACGGAAAGGCCCUGCUUUUGUGUUUUUCUCGAUUGGCGAACGGGUGAGUAACACGUGAGUAACCUGCCCUUGACUGUGUGAUAACUUCAGGAAACUGCGGCUAAUACCGCAUAUGAUCUCCUGCUGCAUGUGGUUGGUUGGUAAGUGUCGGCGGUUGGGUAUGGACUCGCUGGUUAUCAGCUUGUUAGUCUGGUAGUGGCUUACCAAGGCUUUGACGGGUAGCCGGCCUGAGAGGGUGAACGGCGACAUUGGGACUGAGAUAGGGACCAGAAUGCUACGGGAGGCAGCAGGGGGGAAUAUUGCACAACGGGGGGAAGCCAGAGGUAGCAACGCCGGGUGCGGGAUGACGGGCUUCGGGUUGUAAACAGAUUUCGCAUGUGACGAAGAGUGCGUGACGGUAAUGGGUAAAGAAGCACCGGCUAACUACGUG
rnacentral:rRNA from 1 species